rnacentral:snRNA from 1 species
AUCUUUGCGCUUGGGGCAAUGACGCAGUUAAUGAGGUUAUAACCGAGGCGCGUCAAUUGCUGGUUGAAAACUAUUUCCAAACCCCCUCUUUGGUCUUAGGUUACCUAGGACCAUCGAGAAUUUUUGGAAGGGUUACCUUUUAAUC